ACGGAGGGGGCUAGCGUUGUUCGGAAUUAUUGGGCGUAAAGCGCGCGCAGGCGGUCCUUUAAGUCUGAUGUGAAAGCCCACGGCUCAACCGUGGAGGGUCAUUGGGAACUGGGGGACUUGAGUGCAGAAGAGGAAAGUGGAAUUCCACGUGUAGCGGUGAAAUGCGUAGAGAUGUGGAGGAACACCAGUGGCGAAGGCAGGUCUCUGGGCCGCAACUGACGCUGAGGAGCGAAAGCAUGGGGAGCGAACAGGA
rnacentral:rRNA from 1 species